GACGAACGCUGGCGGCGUGCUUAACACAUGCAAGUCGAGCGGUAAGGCUCCUUCGGGAGUACACGAGCGGCGAACGGGUGCGUAACACGUGAGUAAUCUGCCCUUCACUUCGGGAUAACCACCGGAAACGGUGGCUAAUACCGAAUACGACCAGUCUUCGCAUGAGGUGCUGGUGGAAAGUCUUUUCGGUGAAGGAUGUGCUCGCGGCCUAUCAGCUUGUUGGUGGGGUAAUGGCCUACCAAGGCUUCGACGGGUAGCCGGCCUGAGAGGGUGACCGGCCAAACUGGGACUGAGACACGGCCCAGACUCCUACGGGAGGCAGCAGUGGGGAAUAUUGGACAAUGGGCGAAAGCCUGAUCCAGCAACGCCGCGUGAGGGAUGACGGCCUUCGGGUUGUAAACCUCUUUCAGUACCGACGAAGCGCCCUGUCGGGUGGUGACGGUAGGUACAGAAGAAGGACCGGCCAACUACGUG
rnacentral:rRNA from 1 species